rnacentral:lncRNA from 1 species
AAAAAAUGAUUUAUAGCCCAAAAUUAGAAAAAUCAUUUCUUAUUUGGGGCCUGAAGAAUCGGUUCUUCCUAGACAGCUAUCACAAGCUGAUUAGUCUAAAAACAUCAGCGAUUUCUUUCUUCCUGGGUCGACUUUUCAUCGACCAUGUUGUGUUCUGCAAUUUUUUUUGCCCGAAGAAAUUUUCUCUCGUCAAAAAGAAUCUUUGAUAUCUCCGACCAGAAAUCAGUCGCCAUGGUCUUCACCUCCGGUCCGAUAUGGCGAAGCAUCGUUAGUUCUUUCUUGGUGAAAUCGACGCGUGGUCCAUCGAUUUCACCGAUAAGAUAAGUCUCUGUUAUUUCUUUUUUUUUUUGGAGUUUGGUUCGAUUUCUUCCUUUGAUUUGCUUAAUCGGAGCAUCUGAAUUAGUUUAGGUAUGGAGGAUUUAGGUUCUCAUCGUUUUCAAUUUGGAUUUAUGUUCUAUAUCUAUCUUGAACUUGUUUAUGGAUGGAGGAUUUGUUGAUGUUUUCUGAAUGAUUUAGUGGUUGAUAAUAUGAAUUGAUCUUCGUAAUAGACAAUUGUAAAAAGUUUGAUAUAUGGUUUCAUACUUGAAAUUGAUCUUCGUAGAAGUGAUCUUAAUGUUUCUAAUUCCACUCUCGUGGUUCUAUUCCACUCACUUGGUUUUAUUCCACAUACAAAUUAUUGACUGAGAGCUUUGUUUUGCAGAGGGGGGUUUGUAAUUUAAUUCCUGCAACUUUCAAUGAUCGUAAAGGGGUAUGUGAUCAACUUCUCAAACCCUGAAUCAUUGAAAUCUGCAUAGCACCAUUGUGUCCUCCUGUGUAGUGUAUAUAUCAAACUCACUUUCUUCUUCUUUUUUUUUGUGAGGCAGCUCCAAGAUUUCAUAUCAUACUUGAAGCAGAGAGAUAGCAGUUUUAAACCACUUUGUAUAUUAACUCACUUAGUGUAGUCUCACACUCUUUUCUUUCUCCCUUUUGAAGGAUAGCCAAUUGUAUAUUUGUGUGAACUAUAUAGCUGUUGCAGUUUUGUUCUCUCUUCGUGUCUUCCUUGGCUAAAAUGAAUAGUUUGCCCUUGUUGUAUAGACAAAAUAUCUUUAUUUAGAAAAGAAAUGCUAAGAAACCUCUAUAGAAGUUUUACCAAUGCACUAUUAAAAACAAUGAGGUUUUUAAGAUAGAUUCUU